rnacentral:rRNA from 1 species
GAUGAACGCUGGCGGCGUGCCUAAUACAUGCAAGUCGAGCGAACAGACGAGGAGCUUGCUCCUCUGACGUUAGCGGCGGACGGGUGAGUAACACGUGGAUAACCUACCUAUAAGACUGGGAUAACUUCGGGAAACCGGAGCUAAUACCGGAUAAUAUAUUGAACCGCAUGGUUCAAUAGUGAAAGACGGUUUUGCUGUCACUUAUAGAUGGAUCCGCGCCGCAUUAGCUAGUUGGUAAGGUAACGGCUUACCAAGGCAACGAUGCGUAGCCGACCUGAGAGGGUGAUCGGACACACUGGAACUGAGACACGGUCCAGACUCCUACGGGAGGCAGCAGUAGGGAAUCUUCCGCAAUGGGCGAAAGCUUGACGGAGCAACGCCGCGUGAGUGAUGAAGGUCUUCGGAUCGUAAAACUCUGUUAUUAGGGAAGAACAAAUGUGUAAGUAACUAUGCACGUAUUGACGGUACCUAAUCAGAAAGCCACGGCUAACUACGUG